rnacentral:rRNA from 1 species
UACGGUGGCUAUGGCGGCGGGGUUCCACCCCUUCCCAUUCCGAACAGGGCCGUUAAGCCCGCCAGCGCCAAUGGUACUGCCGAAAGGUGGGAGAGUAGGUCGCCGCCGUUC